rnacentral:rRNA from 1 species
AUGCUGGUCCAGCUCUUUGAUAGAGCUUUCCCCUUCGGGGGACAAAGUGACAGGUGGUGCAUGGUUGUCGUCAGCUCGUGUCGUGAGAUGUUGGGUUAAGUCCCGCAACGAGCGCAACCCUUAUCUUUAGUUGCCAUCAUUAAGUUGGGCACUCUAGAGAGACUGCCGGUGACAAACCGGAGGAAGGUGGGGAUGACGUCAAAUCAUCAUGCCCCUUAUGAUUUGGGCUACACACGUGCUACAAUGGAUGGUACAAAGGGCAGCAAAACCGCGAGGUCAAGCAAAUCCCAUAAAACCAUUCUCAGUUCGGAUUGUAGUCUGCAACUCGACUACAUGAAGCUGGAAUCGCUAGUAAUCGUAGAUCAGCAUGCUACGGUGAAUACGUUCCCGGGUUUG